UACAGAGGUCUCAAGCGUUGUUCGGAUUCAUUGGGCGUAAAGGGUGCGUAGGUGGCGCCGUAAGUCAGGUGUGAAAUUUCGGAGCUUAACUCCGAAACUGCAUUUGAUACUGCGGUGCUUGAGGACUGGAGAGGAGACUGGAAUUUACGGUGUAGCAGUGAAAUGCGUAGAGAUCGUGAGGAAGACCAGUGGCGAAGGCGGGUCUCUGGACAGUUCCUGACACUGAGGCACGAAGGCCAGGGGAGCAAACGGG
rnacentral:rRNA from 1 species